rnacentral:rRNA from 1 species
CAUCGCUCAACGGAUAAAAGGUACUCCGGGGAUAACAGGCUGAUACCGCCCAAGAGUUCAUAUCGACGGCGGUGUUUGGCACCUCGAUGUCGGCUCAUCACAUCCUGGGGCUGAAGUCGGUCCCAAGGGUAUGGCUGUUCGCCAUUUAAAGUGGUACGCGAGCUGGGUUUAGAACGUCGUGAGACAGUUCGGUCCCUAUCUGCCGUGGGCGUUGGAUGAUUGAGAGGGGCUGCUCCUAGUACGAGAGGACCGGAGUGGACGAACCUCUGGUGUUCGGGUUGUGUCGCCAGACGCAUUGCCCGGUAGCUAAGUUCGGAAUCGAUAACCGCUGAAAGCAUCUAAGCGGGAAGCGAGCCUCAAGAUGAGUCAUCCCUGAUACUUUAAGUAUCCUAAAGGGUUGUUGGAGACUACGACGUAGAUAGGCAGGGUGUGUAAGCGCUGUGAGGCGUUGAGCUAACCUGUACUAAUUGCCCGUGAGGCUUAACCAUACAACACCCAAGGGGUUU